CUUGGUCAUUUAGAGGAAGUAAAAGUCGUAACAAGGUCUCCGUUGGUGAACCAGCGGAGGGAUCAUUACCGAGUUUACAACUCCCAAACCCCUGUGAACAUACCUUUAUGUUGCCUCGGCGGAUCAGCCCGCGCCCCGUAAAACGGGACGGCCCGCCGCAGGAACCACAAAACUCUGAUUUUAGUGUAACUUCUGAGUCUAAAAAACAAAUAAAUCAAAACUUUCAACAACGGAUCUCUUGGUUCUGGCAUCGAUGAAGAACGCAGCAAAAUGCGAUAAGUAAUGUGAAUUGCAGAAUUCAGUGAAUCAUCGAAUCUUUGAACGCACAUUGCGCCCGCCAGUAUUCUGGCGGGCAUGCCUGUUCGAGCGUCAUUUCAACCCUCAAGCCCCCGGGUUUGGUGUUGGGGAUCGGGCUGUACUCCAGCCCGGCCCCGAAAUCUAGUGGCGGUCUCGCUGCAGCCUCCAUUGCGUAGUAGCUAACACCUCGCAACUGGAACGCGGCGCGGCCAAGCCGUUAAACCCCCAACUUCUGAAUGUUGACCUCGGAUCAGGUAGGAAUACCCGCUGAACUUAAGCAUAUCAAUAAGCGGAGAA
rnacentral:rRNA from 1 species